ACAAGUCAGAACUAUUCAUUUACUUGUUUGUGUGACUAAUGUUCCAUUGCUAUGAAUGCUAACUAUUUUAGUUGUUGUGCUAACCUGACCUAAUGGCAACAUAUUUUGUUUGCACUAUGUGCAUAUAUCGACUCUUUUCAUGCACCUCCUACCCAGUUUAUGAUAUUUGCACCUAUUAUGAAUUUCACAUAUCUUCUAACUUUACUCUCUACAAUGAAAACUCUAUAAAUUCCGCAACGAUGUAUAGUAUCAUCACAUAUGUUCUUCUAUUCAAACAAAGAAAAUGCUUAUUCACAUAGAUAGAUUUGCAUAAGUGCGUAACCAAAGUCAUUUCUAAUAUUGGAUUAACUCGAAGCCCAACACUUCUUUUGAUUCAAACUGGGAUUGCUGAUCAGGCAAGGAAAAGUGAUCAUCAUAACUAUGGUAUUAGUGUGAUGGCAAGGAAAAGUGAUCAUCAUAUUUUCUCGGUGCAUAGCCAUACAUCACAGUUUCACCCGCCUCUAUCUGGUCAUCAUGGCCACAAGACACUGUAGUUGUGGCCAGCAGACCUGGUCUAGCCGGUCUCGGCGCCCUCGCCCAUAUUGUUCUCGCUUUCUCCUACUAUCCCUUACCUUCAUCAGUCAACCAACUCCAUGUAGCCAAGGCAUUAGUGCCCUGGGAGGCGGGGAGACCUUGGUAGUGAUUACCAGUAUGUUCACGAGAUAAGGAAUUUCUCCGUUGAUGUGCACAAAAAGUGUUCCCGGCAUCUGAGAGUUACUUCUAUAUUCUUCAAACUUGCAGCAUGAAUGGAAUCAACUAUAGAAAUUGGAUGGAGGAUCUGUCAGCUAUUGAAGCUCCCUGUCUCUUCA